rnacentral:rRNA from 1 species
AGUUGGUGGGGUGACUUGUCUGGUUAAUUUCGAUAACGAACGAGAUCCGAGCCGUUUCGUUGUAUAUCAUAAGAAUUCUUGUGAUGUAUAUCAAAAUGGACCAUCUGCUCAAGCAGAAGGAAGUGACGGGCUAAAUCAGGU